UCUCCGUAGGUGAACCUGCGGAGGGUUCAUUACUUAGUGAGGGCUUCGGUCCGACCUCCAACCCUUUGUGAACCAAACUUGUUGCUUCGGGGGCGACCCUGCCGCUUCGGCGGUGCGGCGCCCCCGGAGGCCUUCAAACACUGCAUCUAUGCGUCGGAGUUUAAGUAAAUUUAACAAAACUUUCAACAACGGAUCUCUUGGUUCUGGCAUCGAUGAAGAACGCAGC
rnacentral:misc_RNA from 1 species